AUUGAACGCUGGCGGCAGGCCUAACACAUGCAAGUCGAGCGGAUGAAGGGAGCUUGCUCCUGGAUUCAGCGGCGGACGGGUGAGUAAUGCCUAGGAAUCUGCCUGGUAGUGGGGGAUAACGUCCGGAAACGGGCGCUAAUACCGCAUACGUCCUGAGGGAGAAAGUGGGGGAUCUUCGGACCUCACGCUAUCAGAUGAGCCUAGGUCGGAUUAGCUAGUUGGUGGGGUAAAGGCCUACCAAGGCGACGAUCCGUAACUGGUCUGAGAGGAUGAUCAGUCACACUGAAACUGAGACACGGUCCAGACUCCUACGGGAGGCAGCAGUGGGGAAUAUUGGACAAUGGGCGAAAGCCUGAUCCAGCCAUGCCGCGUGUGUGAAGAAGGUCUUCGGAUUGUAAAGUACUUUAAGUUGGGAGGAAGGGCAGUAAGUUAAUACCUUGCUGUUUUGACGUUACCAACAGAAUAAGCACCGGCUAACUUCGUG
rnacentral:rRNA from 1 species